GGGGAUCUCUCCUAGGUUUGGCAUCACAGCAGUGACUAAAAUCCUAAAUGAGAGCAGAUAGAGCUGGAAUGGGAUUGGAAGAAUGCAGAUUGGGAUAUCUUGAGGCAGGAGUAAGAGGUAAAGAAAUCGUUGCAGCAGAUCUGGUGGCAACAGCACAGAGACUGUUUUAUCUUCUUAGCACUGGCGAUGGCGAUGGUGCCCAAGCACAUCUCAGGCUCCUUGCUGCUGGGUGGACGCACGACUGAUCCCAUCAGUGGGCAGUGGCUGAAGCUUGAAGGAGCUGACUAAUGACCAGGGGAGGCCUGUGCUCCAGAUGGCGCAGCUGCAAGAACAGCAAAGCAUUUGUGGCUGAGCAACUGCGUCUCAGAGGAUUGUAGAUCAGAGACCUGUUUUGGCCCAUGAGACUGCAUUCUCUUUAAGGAGAAACCUUAAACAUAAAAGUGUUGCCUUUAGGCAGCAAGAAUAAGAAAUAAGUAUUGGGUAUGUUAAAUCACUGGACUGCCGCGGCUGUUUGCUAGUGCAUCCUAAGCAGAGAUGAGGUUGGUGGGGCUUCUAUUGUGGCAGACACCGAGAUACAGAGGUGGUUCACUGCUCAGCUUUACCCUAGCUCAUCCUGAAACUGGAAGGGCAGUGCCAUUUUAACAAAAACUCAGCAUAUUCAUCAUUGGUUCAGGGUCUCGUGGUGCGUGGUGGUAAAACUGUUAUCGCUGUCUGGAAAGAUGGCAACACGUAUUAGCCAAGUGCCUGUAACUGAGGUCAGUGAUAACUCGAGAGACAGCUUGUGCAGCAGUUGGACGUACAGCUCUAGGGCAAGAAACCACUCGGUUUUGUAAAUACACUACAGGAAAGAGAAAGCAUUUUCCAGUUUGCAAGCAGAAGUAAAAGGAUAUGGAGAAACUCCAGCAAUUCUGUGCCUUUCAAAUUUGGAAGCACAGGCUGUUUCUGGCCCCCAGAUCAUGAAUAUUAUAUUGAGAAAGAUUUCUAGAGACAGACACCUGGUAAAAUCUUCCAACU
rnacentral:lncRNA from 10 species